rnacentral:rRNA from 1 species
UGUUUCGGCUAGGGGGUCAUCCCGACUUACCAACCCGAUGCAAACUACGAAUACCGAAGAAUGUUAUCACGGGAGACACACGGCGGGUGCUAACGUCCGUCGUGAAGAGGGAAACAACCCAGACCGCCAGCUAAGGUCCCAAAGUCAUGGUUAAGUGGGAAACGAUGUGGGAAGGCACAGACAGCCAGGAUGUUGGCUUAGAAGCAGCCAUCAUUUAAAGAAAGCGUAAUAGCUCACUGGUCGAGUCGGCCUGCGCGGAAGAUGUAACGGGGCUAAACCAUGCACCGAAGCUGCGGCAGCGACACUAUGUGUUGUUGGGUAGGGGAGCGUUCUGUAAGCCUGCGAAGGUGACCUGUGAGGGUUGCUGGAGGUAUCAGAAGUGCGAAUGCUGACAUAAGUAACGAUAAAGCGGGUGAAAAGCCCGCUCGCCGGAAGACCAAGGGUUCCUGUCCAACGUUAAUCGGGGCAGGGUGAGUCGACCCCUAAGGCGAG